UAUUCAAGGAUAGCUCAGUCGGUAGAGCAUGAGACUUAAUCUCAUGGUCUUGGCUUCCAGCCCCAUGUUGGUUAA